GAAACCGGUGAUGGAGUCCAAAGGAGGAGGAGAAGGCCUUAAAUAGAUGGAAAUCCCGGGAUUUUUUAUAAGUGUUAUAAAAGAUGAUGUAAUCUCAGGCAUGGGCAGGGUAAAUGAAGAUGAACUUGUGUGCAGAAUGCAGGAGAUAUGUUGUAUCGGCACUACUGUAGAACUCGAACCUAUGCCGUUGUGCUUGUCAGCCCAAGCCCUUUAUCAUGAUAUAUACAUAUCAUAUUUAUUAUAUAUAAACAUAAAUAUGGAAAUGUGUGUGUAGACAUUUAGCGUGUUAAUACAUAACUAUGUAUCCACAUGUAUAUAUGGAUACAUAUGUAUAUUUAUACAUGUUGUUUUAUAAAAGUGUUUUCUUGUAGUUUCCUUUUGUAAAGAUACAAACAAACAAGAAAAAGGAAUUCAGGUUGUAUUAAAAUUAUCGCUGUAUCUGAAAUUUGUGGUUAGAUCGUAAGUAGAAGCAGGGCCGGACGAGGCUAACUUCCCUCCCAAUCUCAAGGGAAGGGGCAGCCUCAAUAUCCAUUGAACUACACUCCUUCUCUCCAUCUGUUGUUCUCUGGCGUUAUCUGUUCAUGGGAAUCAGUCGGAGGGGAUUUCUCGAUCAAUGAUGAGGCUUUGGCACAGUUGUCACAUAGAACA